UCAAGAAACUUCCACAAUGGGCGAAAGCCUGAUGGAGCGACGUCGCGUGAUGGACGAAGUGCUUCGGCACGUAAACAUCUUUUAUGUGGGAUGAAAUUAUUGACAGUACCACAUGAAUAAGGGGCUCCUAACUCUGUGCCAGCAGGAGCGGUAAUACAGAGGCCCCAAGCGUUAUCCGGAAUCACUGGGCGUAAAGGGUGUCGAGGCGGUUGUAUUAGUCGUUCGUAAAAUCUACGAGCUUAACUUGUAGGCGGCGAACGAAACGGUACGACUUGAGGUUUGGAGAGGUGCGUGGAACUCACGGUGUAGGGGUGAAAUCCGUUGAUAUCGUGGGGAACACCAAAGGCGAAGGCAGCGCACUGGCCAAAAUCUGACGCUCACACACGAAAGCUAGGGUAGCGAAGAGGAUUAGAUACCCAAGUAGUCCCUGAG
rnacentral:rRNA from 1 species